rnacentral:rRNA from 1 species
UACGAAGGGUGCAAGCGUUACUCGGAAUUACUGGGCGUAAAGCGUGCGUAGGUGGUUUGUUAAGUCUGUUGUGAAAGCCCCGGGCUCAACCUGGGAAUGGCAAUGGAUACUGGCAAGCUAGAGUGCGGUAGAGGGUAGUGGAAUUCCCGGUGUAGCGGUGAAAUGCGUAGAGAUCGGGAGGAACACCAGUGGCGAAGGCGGCUACCUGGACCAGCACUGACGCUGAGGCACGAAAGCGUGGGUAGCAAACAGG